GACGAACGCUGGCGGCGUGCUUAACACAUGCAGGUCGAACGGAAAGGCCCUGCUUUUGUGGGGUGCUCGAGUGGCGAACGGGUGAGUAACACGUGAGUAACCUGCCCUUGACUUUGGGAUAACUUCAGGAAACUGGGGCUAAUACCGGAUAGGAGCUCCUGCUGCAUGGUGGGGGUUGGAAAGUUCCGGCGGUUGGGGAUGGACUCGCGGCUUAUCAGCUUGUUGGUGGGGUAGUGGCUUACCAAGGCUUUGACGGGUAGCCGGCCUGAGAGGGUGACCGGCCACAUUGGGACUGAGAUACGGCCCAGACUCCUACGGGAGGCAGCAGUGGGGAAUAUUGCACAAUGGGCGGAAGCCUGAUGCAGCAACGCCGCGUGCGGGAUGACGGCCUUCGGGUUGUAAACCGCUUUCGCCUGUGACGAAGCGUGAGUGACGGUAAUGGGUAAAGAAGCACCGGCUAACUACGUG
rnacentral:rRNA from 1 species